CACAGAGAGAUCAACAGAGGGUGUUGUGAACGGGAUCACAGGCCUACAGGAAGGGGAGAACAUUAGGAAAUAGAAUGAACCUCUUAGCAUCUUUUAAAGGAAUUCAGAAUACCAUUCCAUCAGACAUCAUAGAUCAUUCCAUCAGACAUCAUAGAUCAUUCCAUCAGACAUCAUAGAUCAUUCCAUAAUGCCAGCCUUGAGAGGAUGGAGAACUGAUAUCUGUCACAAAUGAGAGAUUGAGGUUUGGGGAGGACACUAACUACAUUACACUGUAUUCGCCAUGUGCUAGUGAAUUUUGCUCAGAGUUUCUAGACCUGGGUGGAGAAGUUAACCUCAGGAUGACCAGACCAUAGCCAUGACGUAAGCUGCCACAAUUCUGAGAAAUGGCCUCAAAGAAAUGGGAGCAAACCAACCCCGGAACUGAAGCAUCAAGACAGUCCUGCUCAGCAAAGCACUGCGCACCCGCUCGUCUCGCAAACCCUGGAUGUUUUCAUGGGCAAUGGAUUGACGUAUCGCCAUUGACACACGUCGCGUUAGCAGCAUGCUUGACUCAGCCUCAAGGCCCUCCAGGCGGCAGAGGGUCACAGAUGACCACAGCCUUGCCUGCUAAGCCACGCCAGUGCCCUCUGGACAGAGGUGAUAUUAUCUGUGGGUCUAGAUUCCAGGGACCUAUAAAGUGAAGUAAAUAUGAA
ensembl:lncRNA